rnacentral:lncRNA from 1 species
GCCGCUUGUGGCGCGCGGGGCCGGGGCCUUGGGCCAGGCGCAUGGGGACGCGCAGGCCUCGGUCGCCCUCCCCGCCGCGAGGCCCCGCACCUCGGUGUCUGCCUGCUCCCUCUUCCCGGUGUGGCCGCUCCCGGGAGCCCCUAGUUGUCUGUGAAAGGACAGGGCGCAGACUGCCCCGCUGCACCCACGGGGACGGGGGACGCCGCGGCAGGGACGACCCGCCGGGAGCAGUGUGCCCUUCGCUGCGGGCCUCGUGACUGCUCCGUAGAUUCCGCGGUCCUGCUCCUUUCGCGCGGACCGUUCCGAUCGCCCGUUUUGCGAAUGGCCCGGCAUCUUCGCACGACUGCGCCGCAGCCUUCACUGUGCCACAGCACCGCCCUACCUGGGGUGCUGGUGACCCGCCUUGGCGCAGCUCGAGGGCCCGGGCAGGAGCUCACAGGGGGCUCGCAUCCUAUCAGAGUACAAGGCUUUAAAAGCAACCGGUCCACCAACCGGUAAAUAAACUGCACCCUGCCCUCCUACCUGACGUCUUAUUGUGAAAGUGUGUUUCCUAACGACAAAACCCUCAAAUAUCCAUAAAGGGAUGAGGUUUUCAUGUUGAUACCGCUGGCGAUGAAAAUCAGGACCGAGUUCUGCUUCCUCAGAUGUUGAAGUUUGAAAUCAGAGAAUCUUCGAGGCAAGCAUAGAAAGCUAGUUUUAUUUGAAUAAUAAUAGACUUUUCCCGUGAAGGAGAAGGGGGCUAUGGACAUUUUAGGCUUUCUUUGUUCUCCUGCCCUCUUCCCCCUUAUCUCUGUCCUUCCUGGUUAUGUGACGAGAAGCAGAUGCCAGGCAAAGGGCCCUACGGAGUAAUCCAGGCAGGUCGCAGCCCAGGAGGCAUUAAUUAACACACAUAUAACUCCUUGCAGCGAGGGACAAGUUACCUUAGCCACAGGUUGGAGCAGGAGUAGGUUACCUUGCUAAGGGCUCUGGAGGCAUUAACAUUUCAAUCCUCCACGGGUGCCUUCAACUUCCCAGACCCAAAGACUCCAUCUUUACACCCGGAAUCCCAUACCUAUCUACACUGACUGCCUGUCUUUAAUUCUUGCUUCAGUACAACUGAAGGCCCACAGAGCAUCAGCAAUGGUAGAGUUUUCUUUGCAGUGCACAUGUCAGGGUGUUCUGGUGAGAGUUUGGCAGUGCUGGUUAAUACAGACGUCAGUUGAGGCCCUCACAAGCCUUCAAGCAAGCACACUGGCUGGGGAGUGGGGACUCCAGGGACAGCUGUCAGCCUUGUACAUGGAAGUGGAGGACUUGUCCUCUGGGAAAAUGAAGCAGUCUCUAAAAAAGCCUCCUACAUAAUUGGAAGAAAAUAAAGACAUCAUGAUUUGUCUCCAUUCCAGAAAAUUUUAGCGUUUUACUCUAUAUUUCAGUAAAAUUACUAAUUGUUAUUAUAAUGAAAAGUCACAUAAUUUGUAUUCUGAACAAGACAAUAAUUAGUUUUUUAUUGUUGCUUUUUCUUUCUGGUACUGGGGAUUGAACCUAGGGGUGCUCUACUACUGACCUACAUCCUUAGCCUUUUUUAUUUAUCGUUUUGAGACAGUGUUAGAAAUACUAGGGUGCUUCAAGGAAUCAAAGGCAUGCUCCAAAGUAGCUCAGGAAGGCAAAGAGAAAACCUUACUUCUGCAGAGUGUGCUGUAAGCAAGCACACUGGGUGGGGGGAGCUUCUCAUUUUGUUCCUAAUAGAGCACUGCCCCUUGCUCUGAUAGGAGGAGGACAGGAGGAGCUGGAGUUACAAUCUAUGCAUUUGCUAAUUUUAAAUUUGGGGAGGGCAAGGGGAAGGGCUGUAGUUACAAUAGCUAGGAUUGGGUCAUACAUCCCAAUGAAGGCUAAAUACUAUAUUCUGAAAAUGGACCACUGGACUUUCCAUUUCUUAAAACAGGUUCUCCCUAGGUUGCCCAGGUUGGACUAAAACGUGCAAUCCUCCUGCAUCAGCCUCCUAAAUUGCUGGGAUUACAUGCAUGCACCUCUGUGCCAAGCUAGACAGUCUUUCUUAACUCAUUGUACUUCUUUUUUCUUUAUUUUAAAAAUUUGGUUCAGUUUGUAGAAUUUUGCUCUAUCAAGGCAGUAGCAUUUGAAAGUGUCAAUAAAAUCCAAAAAAAGUACUUCAAUUUCGAAAUGAGCUGUUGAUUUAUAUAUAUCAUAUCCCCAGAUUGUAACAGAUCAUAUAUGAUAAUUUUUCAUGAUUGCAGAAGCUAUACUAAACAUUUCAAUUCCAAUUAAAAUCACCACCUCCGGGCUGGGAUUGUGGCUCAGCGUUAAGAGCACUUGCCUAGCAUGGGUGGGACCCAGGUUCGAUCCGCAGCACCACAUAAAAUAAAGGCAUUGUGUUGUGUCCAUCUACA